rnacentral:rRNA from 2 species
UUUCCAGUCACGACGCAUAUCAAUAAGCGGAGGAAAAGAAACCAACAGGGAUUGCCCUAGUAACGGCGAGUGAAGCGGCAACAGCUCAAAUUUGAAAUCUGGCUCUUUUAGAGUCCGAGUUGUAAUUUGCAGAGGGCGCUUUGGCUUUGGCAGCGGUCCAAGUUCCUUGGAACAGGACGUCACAGAGGGUGAGAAUCCCGUACGUGGUCGCUGGCUAUUGCCGUGUAAAGCCCCUUCGACGAGUCGAGUUGUUUGGGAAUGCAGCUCUAAAUGGGAGGUACAUUUCUUCUAAAGCUAAAUAUUGGCCAGAGACCGAUAGCGCACAAGUAGAGUGAUCGAAAGAUGAAAAGCACUUUGGAAAGAGAGUCAAACAGCACGUGAAAUUGUUGAAAGGGAAGCGCUUGCAGCCAGACUUGCUUACAGUUGCUCAUCCGGGUUUCUACCCGGUGCACUCUUCUGUAGGCAGGCCAGCAUCAGUUUGGGCGGUAGGAUAAAGGUCUCUGUCACGUACCUCCUUUCGGGGAGGCCUUAUAGGGGAGACGACAUACUACCAGCCUGGACUGAGGUCCGCGCAUCUGCUAGGAUGCUGGCGU